CCUACGGGAGGCAGCAGUGAGGAAUAUUGGUCAAUGGACGAGAGUCUGAACCAGCCAAGUAGCGUGAAGGAUGACUGCCCUAUGGGUUGUAAACUUCUUUUAUAAAGGAAUAAAACGAGGCACGUGUGCCUUUUUGCAUGUACUUUAUGAAUAAGGGUCGGCUAACUCCGUGCCAGCAGCCGCGGUAAUACGGAGGAUCCGAGCGUUAUCCGUAUUUAGUGGGUUUAAAGGGAGCGUAGAUGGGUUGUUAAGUCAGUUGUGAAAGUUUGCGGCUCAACCGUAAAAUUGCAAUGGAUACUGGCAGUCUUGAGUGCAGUUGAGGUAGGCGGAAUUCGUGGUGUAGCGGUGAAAUGCUUAGAUAUCACGAAGAACCCCGAUUGCGAAGGCAGCUUACUAAACUGUGACUGACAUUGAUGCUCGAAAGUGUGGGUAUCAAACAGGAUUAGAUACCCUUGUAGUC
rnacentral:rRNA from 1 species